UGCGUAGGCGGUGCAGAAAGUUGGGUGUGAAAUCCCUCGGCUCAACCGAGGAAUUGCGCCCAAAACUGCUGCACUAGAGGAAGACAGAGGUACGCGGAACUUAGGGUGGAGCGGUGAAAUGCGUUGAUAUCCUAAGGAACACCGGUGGCGAAAGCGGCGUACUGGGUCUUAUCUGACGCUGAGGCACGAAAGCUAGGGGAGCGAACG
rnacentral:rRNA from 1 species